rnacentral:lncRNA from 1 species
GCCUUCUUUUGUUUAAAGCAUAUAUCAUAAUCCAUAAUUUUCAUAAAACGAUAUAUCACAAUAACAUAAGAUAAAUUCUUAAUAAUUCAGAAUAUUCAAAAGCAUAUUUACUUACGAAUCAACUCAUGUAAUACGUAUACAGAAAACAAACAGGUUAGCUCAUGUCACAUAGUGUCACCUAUAGUCCCGGUGACCCGGCCAGAAACAUAAUCAGAAUAUCGUGUGCACAUUCAGAACAGAAACCCAGUACUGGUCCAGACAGAUAUAUCGUAUAUUACGAUCAGAAUCAGAAUCAGAAUAACUAUGGACAAUGAGCCAAAACAUUAGGAAUCUCAUACAAUUAUCAGUAAUUGAAAUCAUAUAUGGGUACAAAACAUUCGUAUCAGAUUUAUAAAAGUUCAUAUCAAUAAUAUAGGCUUGCAUAACAUUUUAAAGAUAACAUCAUAAAAGGUUGUCAUGUCAUAAAAUCAUUUACAUAUUAAAAAGCAUUUAUAAAAUACUUUGUUAAAAAGAAUGGUUUGAAAACAUUUACAUAAAGCUAAUUUUGUUAUCAAAAUUAGUAAUCCAUUAAGUAGUAUCAAAACAUUUAUACUUAUAAUAAUAAUAUCAAAAUACUUCUACAUAUCCAGUACAUUAGGAAUGAAGUUACUUACCUCGACAAAUGAACUUGGAUUAACACACCUCUAAGCUUCUAAGAGCCUCAAACACCUUCAAAACCUUAAACAAAUACAAGAUAUGACAAUCAAUAACUUAUUCUAAGAAUUUGAUUUUCUAAUUCAUACCCGUACAGGUCUGAUUCUCGGAAUUUUAACUCUUAAUCAAAGACUCAGAAUGAUAUAAAAUCCUAUGGAACCAUUCUGGACAUCCAUGAGUACCCCAUGUAAAAUUUACAAGAGGAUCCGAUAUCAAAAACAUUUUAAAAACUAUUUACUUCUCAGCAAAUUCGAAACUGUUUUCACAUAAUCUAAACCAAACAGAACGGGUUCCGUGAUUUUUAUAAAAUAAAAUACUAAUCAGAAAAUUAUGAAAUUAAAACUGGGAAUCCUAGACACAUAUAUUAACAUACAUAUAAACUUUCAGAAUUUUUU